GAUGAACGCUGGCGGCGUGCUUAACACAUGCAAGUCGAACGGAAAGGCCCAAGCUUGCUUGGGUACUCGAGUGGCGAACGGGUGAGUAACACGUGGGUGAUCUGCCCUGCACUUCGGGAUAAGCCUGGGAAACUGGGUCUAAUACCGGAUAGGACGAUGUUUUGGAUGCCAUUGUGGAAAGUUUUUUCGGUGUGGGAUGAGCUCGCGGCCUAUCAGCUUGUUGGUGGGGUAAUGGCCUACCAAGGCGUCGACGGGUAGCCGGCCUGAGAGGGUGUACGGCCACAUUGGGACUGAGAUACGGCCCAGACUCCUACGGGAGGCAGCAGUGGGGAAUAUUGCACAAUGGGCGCAAGCCUGAUGCAGCGACGCCGCGUGGGGGAUGACGGCCUUCGGGUUGUAAACUCCUUUCGCUAGGGACGAAGCGUUUUUGUGACGGUACCUGGAGAAGAAGCACCGGCUAACUACGUG
rnacentral:rRNA from 1 species